CCCAAUCCUACCCUUUCAAUUGCUCCACCACUUUUACAAUUUAGAAAGGUCUUUGGAAACCCUAAAACAUUAAAUUUACUCAUCAUGGAAGGACGAAUGGCGUCACUGACGGUCACCUUUUACUCUCUAGUCUCCAUUAUCGUCUCGCUGAUCUCUCUCGGUCGUGAUCGUCACUCACGGAAUCUCAUUGCUUUCGUGCUGGGAACCUUUUCAAAGUAUACGGGGCUCUGAUAUUUGCUCAGCGCAAGGAUGAUGAAGAACGAAAUAGGAUGGAUUUCUUCAAGGCAACUCAUUAUUCAAAUGACAAAGGAUGGACAACAUCUGAGGCACAAGCAAAACAUGAGAAAAUGGUAGAGUUGCAAUCAAAUCCAGCUGAAGAAGGAGUAGAACCUAAGAAUAUUGAUGAUAUAAUGGAUGAGGUACUUGGUACUAGACCAUGAUACAUUCUGGGGCUUGGAUAUGGGCCAAAGCCUAAGAAAACAAAUUCAAGUGCAUAUACAAUCAAGUUAAAAAAAGAGUUUGAAGAAUAAAAAAGAUGAAUUUAAUAACUAUAAGUCAAAUUUUGAAUUGAUUCAAACUCAAAUGGAAGCUAUGAGAUCUGCUUUGUUAGCUGUUGGAAUUCAAGUGACAUCACUUCAAUUUUCAGCUUCAAAUGAUACCACAAACUCAACAUCAACAGAAUCACAAUCGACUCAAGGUUUGGAUUGAGAUUGCUACAAUGAAAU